GCCAGCUGAGACAGGCGGUGGCUGUUAGAGUGGGCAUCAGCUGCGCUACCCUGUCUGGGGAUGGGAGUACUACUGACCCGACAGGAUCCAGUCCAGUCCCACAUCUUACAGAACAGAGGGGCAGAGAACUGCUGAAGACUGAGUGUUGGGUUCACACUCUGCCCCUCGCUCCUCUCCUCUGUUCACCCACGUUCGGGAUGGGUAAAACCUGACCCGUUGGGCUGGCUGCACCCCAGUUAUCAUGUCGGGACGCAACCAUCCAGAGGCUCCGGCGAGAUGUGCUGCUCUCCCACCAGGCCCGCGACUCCCAGUCUGCUCAGCUGGAUGUCCAUGGGCAGAGGAUCUCUCAGCUGCAGACGGAGCUACAGGAGAGCUAAC